UACGUAGGUGGCAAGCGUUGUCCGGAUUUACUGGGCGUAAAGAGCGUGCAGGCGGUCGUCCAAGUCGCGUGUGAAAGCCCCCGGCUCAACUGGGGAGGGUCACGCGAUACUGGUCGACUCGAAGGCAGGAGAGGGUAGUGGAAUUCCCGGUGUAGUGGUGAAAUGCGUAGAUAUCGGGAGGAACACCAGUGGCGAAGGCGACUACCUGGCCUGUUCUUGACGCUGAGGCGCGAAAGCUAGGGGAGCAAACGGG
rnacentral:rRNA from 1 species